rnacentral:misc_RNA from 1 species
AGAAGGUGAUGCUGGACCAAGAGGGUAUGUUUGUUGGUGAACAUUGCUUUUCAUAUUUUCAGGCUUCACCAGGUUAUUUGUUAUAUUAUUUUAAUGAAUUUUAGUUGUUCCAAUUUUUGUUAUUUUUGGCCCUAUUCCCUGUGGUUCACAAUAAUUAUGGUACUAAAAUAAUGUUUGAUCUUUUAUAAGGGAAUUGAUGUUGUAGGAGCAAAUGUUAGACUUCAGUAUUUGAAGAAUACAUAAAAUCUACAGUUGGAGUAAAUUAGAAAUUGCCUCAAUUUUUUGUACAGUUAAUCAAAUAAUUGGUUGUCUUCUUCACAUUUUGAAAGUUUAUUUGAUUGAUGGCGAGUAUCACCUCAAAGGGCUAAUAUAGAAAGUUUACAAACCAUCAUUUGCAUGCAUAGAAGAAUUGUUUGAGUUAUUGAUUUCCCAAAUCUUUAACAAUAAGGAAACUAGAGCAUGCUUAUGGUUAUGAUGAUAAGAGAUGUUCCUCAUAACGUUUUAGGAUUCAAAUUAACUACAUUGGGUGCAAUAUGGAUGCUAUAAACGAUUAAGCUGAUACUGAAGGCUUCUAGGUUCUUUUAUAUUCUCUAAAUUGGAUUGCUCAUUGGUGUCAUAGAAGCAGCUUCUUAUCUUUCCAAUUUCUUUUUACAUUUCCUUAUCAUCUUUCUAUCAAGUACUUUUGACACUAAUUUGUUACAUU